GUUGUAUGGUUAAGUGACUAAGCGUACAUGGUGGAUGCCUUGGCAGUCAGAGGCGAUGAAGGACGUACUAACCUGCGAUAAGCUGUGAGAAGUCGGUAAGAGACGCUAUUACUCACAGAUUUCCGAAUGGGGAAACCCACCCGAGAUAACUCGGGUAUCUGUUACUGAAUACAUAGGUAACAGAGGCGAACCGGGAGAACUGAAACAUCUAAGUACCCCGAGGAAAAGAAAUCAACCGAGAUUCCCUCAGUAGCGGCGAGCGAACGGGGAUUAGCCCUUAAGCAUCUUGGAAGUUAGUGGAACGGUCCUGGAAAGGCCGGCGAUACAGGGUGAUAGCCCCGUACACGAAAACAACCUUGAUGUGAAAUCGAGUAGGGCGGGACACGUGACAUCCUGUCUGAAUAUGGGGGGACCAUCCUCCAAGGCUAAAUACUCCUGACUGACCGAUAGUGAACCAGUACCGUGAGGGAAAGGCGAAAAGAACCCCUGUGAGGGGAGUGAAAUAGAACCUGAAACCGUGUACGUACAAGCAGUGGGAGCCCUUCG
rnacentral:rRNA from 1 species